UGGACCGAGGUGAUUGUUCACAGGCGGAAAAGGCCUCCAAGCGGGAUUGACCGUGGGGCUCCUUCUCACCUGAGCCUGCCACUCUCCAACAGUCUCGAUUCAUCGUUCAUCUUGAGCCAGUCCGGGCUGAAGGACUCGUACAUGCACCACAAAGACCAGUCAAAACCGUGUGCGGAGGGGAGGUACGUUUCCAUGUGAAAGUCAUCGAAAUGGAUUUUGUCAAACACCGGGGACACCACUACUGUCCUGUCAGCUUUGAUCCUGGCGAGGAGAGGUUCCGCCCUGGGAAGGAGAUUGACAUGAAGGGUGGAUGCCAAAGUUAACCGACUUGUCGGAUUAUGUCUUCAUUCUACUGCUAUCAAGGGGAGAAACAUUUUUUGUCAUCUAGAAUAAACUUUCACG